ensembl:lncRNA
GCAUUCAUCGCAUGGUCCCAGAUACCUUUCAGAGCCUCUUUGUGUGCCAUCCUACCCCCUGAGGUCCACGAGGAUGGGGCUUUUGGAGCCUGGAUUCUGCAGGAGCAGGAGGGGUAUGUCUGCAGAAUGGAAGUUGUAGCAUUUCUGCACUCCUGGCAAGGGAGCUCCGUCUGUCUCCGAUCAUGGUUCUCGAUCUCUUGCCCACGUGCAGUACGGGUAACGCCAUUCUCCAGGCGUAUGUACGGACACCAUGGAAGAAAGGGUUUGAGCGAUGGAGACAACGGCUGGAAACUCCACCGACACAACGCGACUACAUGCUUGUGGAGCCAGUUCCGAGUUGCCUCACCGGCAGACGCCCGUAGCAUCUUGCAGCAUUCUCCAGACUGCGAAGACAAGAAGUCAGCUGCGUUAUGCUGUAGAAAUCGCAGGGUCUUCUCUAUGCAGGUGAAAAUGGGUGAGAAGGAGUACAACUGUUGGAUUUGUGGCAGGAAUUUUCAAACGAAUGAAAGCGUAAGGAUGAAAACAGAAGAAAAGUGUUCAGCACGGACACAGUUAAAUUUCCAGGAGCAUAAGGAAACUGUUACAGAAAAGGUGACAAUAAUACAUCUUGUUGGAAAGGAGAACCAAAAUGAAGCAGCUGUACAUCAGAGAGAAAAUCUGAACUAAGAGACUGAUAACAAGUAUGCCGAGUAUUUUUUCUUGCUUACGGGUGAAAAAGCCAGCAAAGUCUCUGUUUGAAGACAAAGCACAUAAUAAUAUGAUCAUAAAAAUCUCCUAAUGGGGACUGUGUGAUGCACGGUAAAUGUAUUCCUUUCAGUACGUUAUUCCCUCUACAUGCAGGCUUUCAAGGUACCCUCGAACCGUACUGUGGAUAUGAUAGCAUCAGCACAGCUAGAUGUGAGCAGAGCUGGACCUCCUUUUUCCUUAUUAUUGCUAUUAUUUGUGCUCUUAUCAUUUCAUACUGAUCUCACGGCAACUCCUGGGAGGUUCAGACAGAAAAGUCACCCCAUUUUUCAAGAGGUGGUUUGCAGACAUUGCUAAGGCACCAUCUGUGCCCAGAGAAAAGCUGCAAUUGAUGGAAAUGAAGUGACAUUCAGAGGGUGGAGAGAGGAAUACAGCAAUUAUAGGUGGGGCUGGUAGUAUUACCUGUUAUUAAGGGCUUGCCUGACACUUCCCAUUUUAAGGCCUGCUCCUCGUGGUUUUUAAGUACUUAGUAAACUUUAAGCAUUUGUCUUUACCUAGACUUCUACCCUUGGCUGCUUCUGCUGCUCAGGUGUUAUUAACAGAAUUUAUUUCAUUUGGACGUCGUGGCAGGACUGGAGCUGGAGGAAGGAGCAGCAGCUUUAAAAACAUACAAAUAAAUGUUAUCCUUUUACCUUUCAGUAUAUUUUUUUUGUUUUGCUUUGCCAUAAGAACUCAAACACUGUAAUCUCACCUUGUUUUCUUAUAUUCCUCCAGCUACCUGUCUGCAUCCAUCUGUGAUCUCUUUUCUUAGAUUUGAGCCUGUCUUUCUGAUCUGCAUUUGUGCACUGCUUUAUACAGCUGGGUGCUGGUCCGUGACUGCUGCACCUAUGAGCUGCAGCCAUGCAAACAAAUACUCUGGGUCUGCACAGGGCAAUUGUUUUGGAGAAGUAAAUAAAUAUUUCCUAUC